UACAGGGGGGGCAAGCGUUGUUCGGAAUUACUGGGCGUAAAGGGCUCGUAGGCGGCCAACUAAGUCACACGUGAAAUCCCCAGGCUUAACCUGGGAACUGCGUGUGAUACUGGAUGGCUUGAAUCCGGGAGAGGGAUGCGGAAUUCCAGGUGUAGCGGUGAAAUGCGCAGAUAUCAGGAGGAACACCAAUGGCGAAGGCAGCUCGCUGGGACGUGACUGACGCUGAGACGCGAAAGCGUGGGGAGCAAACAGG
rnacentral:rRNA from 1 species